GUGUUGAUUUAAAGCAGAGUCUCUGGUGCCCAGCGGAAGGAUGAGCAAUACGUGCUACAUACUCUAUAUUGCUUUAUUUACAGUUCAAAGCUGGUAUAUUACAGAAAGACAUCUUGCCUCUGCCGGAGCAGAGAAAUGCAUCCUCUCUCCUCAACAGCUCGGAGAGAAUCACACAGUGAAAAACAGGAAACCAGUGUACGUCACAUCCAGUCUCCUUUCCCGUGAGAAACUCCAACAGUACAGACUGUGGAAUGUAAACACCUGUCUCGUGACAAGCAGAGCUGCACAGUGAAGGAAAGCAGAAACUAACAUCCUCCCCCUUUCUGUGAACAUCACUGGGCAGCGUGUUUGUACAAUAUCAGUACAAACCCAACUUCUGCACAUAGGUACAGUGUUGAUCCCUUGAUACAAUCUUGGACAAUACAUCAGCAGGAAUUUCAUUACCUGGCAUAUAGGACACCGUUACGAGUCCCUUCUGAAUACAUUCCCUAGCAUGCUGCAACUUUAAUUGCAAGUGCUUUGUGCUUUGCUUACAACCUUCAGACUUCAGCAAAGCCAAACAUGCUUUGUUGUCCUGGUAAACCUGGAUUGGACAUUUGACAGGAAUUUUCAUAUCUUUGCACAAUUGUACUAUCCAUUCACAAUCCUUAAGUGAAUAAGACAGUGCAUUCAGUUCGGCUUCACAAGUACUUAAGCUAACUGUUGUUUGCUUCUUGCAUGACCAAUCAAACAGACUCUGAUUGUACAUGUAGCAAACUCCAGACGUACUUUUCCUGUCUGUAGUGUCACUUCCAAAACUUGCAUCUGCAAAUAUCUCAAGACCACCAGACUUCUGAUUGUUAAAUCUCAGUCUGUAAUGCAUAGUGCCUUUCAAAUACCGCGCUAUGCGUUUCAGAGCUUUCCAAUCCUUGACACUAGGAUUGUUGACUUGUCUGCUUAGCAAAUUACAGCUAACAGCAAUGUCUGGUCUUGAACAUCUGGCAAUGAAGUUUAGCUUGCCUAGCACACUCCUGUACAGUGUAGUGUCAGAAAAUGCUUCUUCAGUGUCAUCUACCUGAUAACCUGUUGUCAUCGGUGUGUUUACAGGGUUAGCAUCCAUCAGAUUUAGUUUGCUUAACACAUCAGCAAUUUUCCGUGACUGGUGUACUAGAAUGUUACCAUCUUGAUCUCUCUCUAUUUCCAGAGAUAGGUAGUUGUUUACCUCACCAAGAUCUUUCAUGUCAAAGUGCUCUUUCAGUUGAGCUAGGGCGCUAUUGUACAUUGCAACAUCUUUCCAAAAGAAUAAUAAAUCAUCAACAUAAAACAAACAGUACAGUCUCUUUUGCCCCUCCUCUUUGACAAAUACACAUGGAUCAGCUUUCCCUUGCUGAAAACCUAGAGAAAACAAUACUUCAGUGAGUUUUGUGUGCCAACACCGUGCACUUUGUUUGAGACCAUAAAGGGAUUUCUUCAGAGCACAAACAAAUCCCUGUUUUACCUGUACGCCAUCAGGUGGAAGCAUAUAAAGUGAUUCAUCUAGAGAUCCGUACAGAAAAGUUGUAUUAAUAUCAUGGUGACUAAUGUGUAGAUUUUCCUCUGCAGCUAGCUUGAGCAUAAGCCUAAUGCUUUCAUAUCUCACUGUGGGUGAAUAGGUCUCGUGAUAGUCUUCACCUGGUACCUGUGCAAAACCUCUGGCUACCAAUCUGGCUUUGUGUCUGACUAUCUUGCCAUUUUGAUCUGUCUUCGCUUUGAAGACCCAUUUGCUUCCAAGCAGUUUCAUUCCUGGAACUACUGGAACUAGCUCCCAUGUUUUGUUCCUUUCUAAGGAAUCAAGCUCAGCCUUCAUGGCAUUUAACCAUGGCUCAGCUUCCUUUGAAUCCAAAUCCUGGAUUUCUUGGAAACUUGAAGGUUCAAAUACCUUCUUGGAGCUUUUAACAGCUUUUACUGCUAUCUUAGCAAACUCAUCAGCAAAUCUCUUUGGAGGUUUGCCUUUUGUGGCUCUCUGUGACCUACGAAUUAGCCUUAAGUCUUCAACACUCUCCUCUUCCUUCUUAGGAGAAAAACGACCUAUUGUGAACAAUGGUUCCUCCAAUUCUUGAUCAGAGCUUUCAGAGGGUCGCAUAGAGGCUUUCGCACUCUCGAAAUCCUCUGAAUCACCCGAUUCAGUUUCAGAUUCAGACUCAGAACCUUCAUCAGUGGGUGUGGGCUGUUGUGGUUGCUUUUGACUAUCCUCAGUCUCAUCACCGUCAUCAGGAUAACAUUGGAAAAUUCCCACAUUCUCCCCCACUUUGCAUUGUACUCAACACUUCUCGUGAGCUUAAUUGUCUUAGAGUCAGUCAUCAUUAUUCUGUAAGACCCUUUCUGAUAACCUAGAAAGAUACCAUGCAAUCCACGCUUGUCUAACUUGGAGUUUUGUGGUGAGCGAACCCACAUGUCAGAACCAAAAAUCUUCAUGUGUUUGAUGUAUGGCUUCUUGCCAAACAUCUUCACAUAGAGGUACUACCAAUCGCUGAAGAUAAUCUGCGAUUGUAACUGUAAACAAAACACGAGAGAGAUUCGGCCCAAUAACUCUCUGGAAGAUUGGCAUCAUGCAGCAAGGUUUUUAAGCCUUGAAGCAAUGUCUGAUUUGCCCGUUCCGCAAGUCCAUUCUGCCAUGGCGAGCGAGGACUAGACAAAUCGUGUUGAAUUCCUUUCUCAGUCAGAAAAGCUUCAAACUGCUGAGAAGUGAAUUCCCCCCCGCGAUCACUGAAAAGAGUCUUUAUCUUCUUACCAUGCACAUUUUCCAACCAAGCACAGAAUUCCUUGAACCUAGGAAAAGCCUCCGAUUUCUGCUUGAGAUUGUACACAAAAAUAUAUCUAGAAAAUGCAUCAAUGAGAACCAUGAAGUAUCUAUUUCCACCCAAAGAGGGCGAUAGUGGUCCAACCAAAUCAGCAUGAACAACCUGGUAUGGUUCUGUAGCUUUCCUACUAGACACCUUACCUUUCGCAGCCAUUUUCACUUUGUUUGCUGCGCAUGCUUUGCACUUCAUGUGGUACCUGCAGGGUUUAAUAGUCAUACCUUCAACCAAGGCAGGCAUUUUAGAUACUGCCUCAAAAUGCAAAUGACCAAAUUUUCGAUGAAAAUCGUGAAUACAUUCUGCAUGCAAACUUUUGUUAGAACCUGCAAUGCAACAAGUGUCAUCCUGCACCACAUCAUCAUAAUACAAAACAAACAAAUGAUCAACAUAUUCUGCAUGCAAUACAUAAUCAUUUUUCUUUGUGAUGAUGCACUUCUUGUUCUUGAAGGAAACGUCAAUGUUCCGCUCAUUCAGCUGUCCAACGCUGAGCAGAUUAUGUUUGGCGUCUGGCACGUAAAGCACAUUCUGUAUCGAUAAGUCCAAACUGUGAAGAACAACAGUUCCGUAGCCUUUACUGGGAAUAGUGUGGUCAUCCGCCUGGUGAAUCGCACCUUCCUGCGGUGUAAAAGACACAAACAGUCUCUUAUCGUUGCACAUGUGGUGGGUGGCCGCUGAAUCAACAACGAAGAAAGAUCUAGACGUCUUCUGGACCUCUGCAACCUUUGGAGUGAAGCGUGAAACCAUAGCCUUGUGCUGCGUUGUCCUAGACACCGGACCUUUGCCUUUGCCUCGGCCUUUUCCGCGCGAUGAGCUUUCGCUGCGCUGCUCUGUCUUGGCCCUGGGAUGUCUGCAUUCCCUCUUCAUAUGGCCUAGACGUCCACACGAGUAGCAUUUCACUGCCUUCAAAGCUUUGGCGCCAUCUGGUGGUUCCACUGCACUAUGGGAUGACGUCUGUGAAGACUCCCCCUUGCCCAUGCAGCUAGCACCCCGGCGAUCUGCUUCAUUUAAAAUCACGGCAGUAACAAAGUCCACUGUCAGCUGAGCAGUUGGUUGCACAGCAAUCUGGGUUGCAACAGACUCCCAACCUGAACCCAAAGAUUGUAGUAUCAUGAAAGAAUACACAGCCUCUGGAAAGUUGAGUCCUCUCUGUUGCAGCUCAUGUCUCAGAUUUUGCAUCUGCAUCAGAUAUAAACGCACAUCUCCACCUUCAGCAAGAGCCAUAUUAUGCAGCUUGUUAAAGUAAAACAUAGUGGAUCCAGCUUCUGUCCUUAAGUGAGCCUCUCUCAGAGCGUCCCAAAUUUCUCUGGCUGAGGUCUUAUCACGCAAUAGACAGAGCUCUUCUGGGGAUACUAUCAAUGUAAGAGUUCCCCUUGCUUUGGAAUCCUUAGCUUCCCAUGCAUCUGUAACUGGAACUGGGGGUUCCUGUAAUCACCUCAAACAAACCCUCUUUCCGCAGAAUUGCCUCUGCAUACAGAACCCAGUCGCUGUAAUUUUUCUUGUUGAGCUUAGGAAUCCCACAAGCAUCCUGAAGGGCCAUCAUGACUCUGGCAUUAGCCUUCAGCGUCAUAUGCUGCUUUAAAUCUUGCUGCGUCACUGCUGCAGCUGCUUUAUUACAAAGGCACACUUAAAAGUUACUUUAGAUUUCCCCAGCAUAGUGACUUGUGCCUGGGAGCCUUUUGCCUAUUCCCGGCAAAACCGGCUUUAAAAGUUCAAAGUCCAGCCAUAAAGCCAUUAACUUGAAGCUGGCAGGCUGCCCGGAGCAGUAGCACAUACCUCAUCAAUCACCUUUACGCGCAGAGCAGAUUCCUUUCCGAUCCGUCCCUCUGCAUUCCGAUCCUUUGCCGGCACUCCGAUUCGACCUCUGGGCCCAUAACCACGUGUUGAUUUAAAGCAGAGUCUCUGGUGCCCAGCGGAAGGAUGAGCAAUACGUGCUACAUACUCUAUAUUGCUUUAUUUACAGUUCAAAGCUGGUAUAUUACAGAAAGACAUCUUGCCUCUGCCGGAGCAGAGAAAUGCAUCCUCUCUCCUCAACAGCUCGGAGAGAAUCACACAGUGAAAAACAGGAAACCAGUGUACGUCACAUCCAGUCUCCCUUUCCCGUGAGAAACUCCAACAGUACAGACUGUGGAAUGUAAACACCUGUCUCGUGACAAGCAGAGCUGCACAGUGAAGGAAAGCAGAAACUAACA